CCUACGGGUGACAGCAGUGAGGAAUAUUGGUCAAUGGACGAGAGUCUGACCCAGCCAAGUAGCGUGAAGGAUGACUGCCCUAUGGGUUGUAAACUUCUUUUAUAUGGGAAUAAAAUGUUCCACGUGUGGGAUUUUGUAUGUACCAUAUGAAUAAGGAUCGGCUAACUCCGUGCCAGCAGCCGCGGUAAUACGGAGGAUCCGAGCGUUAUCCGGAUUUAUUGGGUUUAAAGGGAGCGUAGGUGGAUUGUUAAGUCAGUUGGGAAAGUUUGCGGCUCAACCGUCAAAUUGCAGUUGAAACUGGCAGUCUUGAGUACACUAGAGGUGGGCGGAAUUCGUGGUGUAGCGGUGAAAUGCUUAGAUAUCACGAAGAACUCCGAUUGCGAAGGCAGCUCACUGGACUGCAACUGACACUGAGGCUCGAAAGUGUGGGUAUCAAACAGGAUUAGAUACCCGGGUAGUC
rnacentral:rRNA from 1 species